UUUCCUAAUCUACCUAGGAGAAAAUUCCACAUUUGACUCAGUUUGUGUUUCUGUUGGGUAGCACUCAUCCAGACCCGUCUGCACAUGUAUGUGUUAAGUAUCUAUCCAUUUUGCUCAAUGCAGCCUUCAUCUGGUGGAUGUCUAUUGAUCGUCAGCUAACGAGGUAAUGGAAUAUAAAGAUGAAAAAAGGCAGAUGAGGGACUCACCUCACCAGGUGACUCUGAGCCUGAAGGAAUUGAUUUCGUGUAAAUGCAAAGAAGGCACUGAACAGUUUUCGGCUGGGGAGUGACAGCAUCCCUCUGCCUGGGUGAUUCUGUGUCAAUCAGUUCCAGGUUGUCACUCACUGUGACAGCCCAGUGUAAGCUCCUAAAAGUGUCUACUGAGAGAAGCAUGGAUCGUCGGAGAUGAUCGCUAUUAAAGAAAUGGGUAGAGGAAGAGGAAAACCGGAAGUCAGCAGCAGCCAGUCUCUCUGCCUCUCUGCUCCCACGUGCCGGACUAACAGGCGUGUGACACCGUGCCCAGCUCCCGUCUGUUAAGCUACAUUUAUCUCACGAGUCCGCUGCACUCCAGACUUUGAAUCCAUGCUCUGAAGCCCAACGGUAGUGGCCGUAAAGGAACACUUCUCACUUGGCACCCGUUACCUCUCAUGGUAGCCACUUUCCAGAGGUUAAGGUCGACCCCGAAGUGGCUACUCUUUAGUUUUGCUUGCACUGAAUUCCGGACUGAGAAAUACACCUCAGAAAACAGUGGCAGACUCUAAGGGGGCCUGCAGGGACCAGCAAACGCAAAGAUAACCAAGGUCUGGCUCCAAGGGUAAACGCACUCGUUGGCGAGACUUGAGCCCUGCACGGUGGAAGGAGAUCACCGACUUAACACAGAAGUCCUCUGACAUCUGCGCACACACGAGAGCGUGUCCUACUAUUUUUAUAAUUAAAACCCUCAGCCAUCUGCUCAUGUUUGUUUGGAUAUGGACGCUUGACAACAGUGAGUGCGAAUGCCUUGCUGACAUUGAAGCCCAGUUCAUGGAAGUCCCGUCCUCACCUUGUCAAACGUGUGCUACCGUGUACACCAUGCUCUCAUCUUCUCUCCGUCACCACAGCUUUGUAAGGAAAAAAGAAUGAGAAGAAAAUGGCGCCCACCUUUACAAACAACAACAACAAAAAAAAAACCCGAAGACUCAUUUAUUCCAGACUGGCCUUGAACAUGCUACUUAUGCAGCUGAGGAUGGCCUUGAACUUAAUGAUCCUUCACCUCCCAUGCUGACAUCACAGGCAAACAUCAUCACCCUGAUCUUAUGUAGUGCUGGUGAAUUGAACCCAAGGCUUUGUGUAAUCUACACUCUUAGAAACUGAGCUACAUCCCCAGAUAUAGAUUUGGCUCCCUGUUUUGAAGACAGUCCCUGGGUAGCCUGGAACUCACUAUGAUGUAGACCAAUCAGGACAGCCUAGAACUCACAGAGAUUCACCUGCCUCUGCCUAAAGGCAUUUGCCAUCGUGCCCAGAUUUAGAGAAGGGGUUUCUUUUCUUUUCUUUUUUCUUUUUCGAGACAGCGUUUCUCUGUGUAGUUUUGUUACCUGUCCUAGGUCUCGAUCUGUAGACCAGGCUAUCUUCGAACUCAGAGAUCCACCUGGCUCUGCCUCCCAAGUGCUGGGGUUAAAGGCGUGCACCACCACCGCUCUGCUAGAGAAGGGUUUUCAAGGAUUGGCCAGCAGGAUAAUUCUGUUUAUAAAUUUAUGCACCUUCAUCUCGACCUGUUACCACCCUUGGGAUCAGAGGAGGAAAAGUUCAUCUGUGGCUUCCAACACUUUCCUCCGUCUCCCUAAGUUUGUAGUCCACAGCU